ACACAUGCAAGUCGAGCGGAAACGAUGGUAGCUUGCUACCAGGCGUCGAGCGGCAGACGGGUGAGUAACGCGUGAGAAUCUGCCCAUUUGUGGGGGAUAACUCGGGGAAACUCGAGCUAAUACCGCAUAAUCCCUACGGGGGAAAGCAGGGGACCUUCGGGCCUUGUGCAGAUGGAUGAGCUCGCGUCGGAUUAGCUUGUUGGUGAGGUAAAGGCUCACCAAGGCGACGAUCCGUAGCUGGUCUGAGAGGAUGAUCAGCCACACCGGGACUGAGACACGGCCCGGACUCCUACGGGAGGCAGCAGUGGGGAAUCUUGGACAAUGGGGGCAACCCUGAUCCAGCCAUGCCGCGUGUGUGAAGAAGGCCUUCGGGUUGUAAAGCACUUUCAGUAGGGAGGAAGGCUUACCGCUAAUAACGGUGAGUACUUGACGUUACCUACAGAAGAAGCACCGGCUAAUUUCGUGCCAGCAGCCGCGGUAAUACGAAAGGUGCGAGCGUUAAUCGGAAUUACUGGGCGUAAAGCGCGCGUAGGCGGUUUGUUAAGUCAGAUGUGAAAGCCCCGGGCUCAACCUGGGAAUUGCAUUUGAAACUGGCAGGCUAGAGUGCAGUAGAGGGAGGUGGAAUUUCCGGUGUAGCGGUGAAAUGCGUAGAGAUCGGAAGGAACACCAGUGGCGAAGGCGGCCUCCUGGACUGACACUGACGCUGAGGUGCGAAAGCGUGGGGAGCAAACAGGAUUAGAUACCCUGGUAGUCCACGCCGUAAACGAUGUCUACUAGUCGUUGGGAAUCUUAGUAUUCUUGGUGACGAAGUUAACGCGAUAAGUAGACCGCCUGGGGAGUACGGGCCGCAAGGUUAAAACUCAAAUGAAUUGACGGGGGCCCGCACAAGCGGUGGAGCAUGUGGUUAAUUCGAUGCAACGCGAAGAACCUUACCAGGCCUUGACAUCCUUGGAACUUUCUAGAGAUAGAUUGUGCUUCGGGAGCAAGUGACAGGUGCUGCAUGCUGUCGUCAGCUCGUGUCGUGAGAUGUGGGUAAGUCCGUACGAGCGCAACCCUUGUCCUAGUUGCCAGCACUUCGGGUGGGAACUCUAAGGA
rnacentral:rRNA from 1 species